GUCCCUGCCAUGUAUGAAGUCAUUCAUAGUGACAAAUCACUGCAACAGUUGUUGAUAAGGUAUUUUGAAGAGUAGUCGUCUUUGUAUAACAAGUGAAAAUGAGUGGAAAUAAAAAAUAUCCACAAUAUAUCGCCGCUAAUGUUUACCAGAAACCUACUAAUUUAUUACCUAAAAUCCCACCUGAAAAGUCCGCGGAUGGGAAGAAAGCUAUCAGAAAUCCACAAAAUCAAGAAAUGAAAAUGUGCUAAGAAUUUUUAGUUAACUUUUAGUAUCAUUACUUCUUAAGCUACAUGUCAUAAGAAUGAAUUCGAAAUGUGUAUUUCGAUGACCCUGACCCGCUAUCGUAUCAAAAUCAUUACAGAUAUUCUGAUAUUUUAAUGUAAAUAGAGAGAGUUAUAGAGAUUUCCUGGCAUCACCUGUAAAUGCGUACUGUAUGUACACGAGAGAUUUCUACGCGACAAUGAGCAUUAUUUUGACUGAAUUGUCAAACUUCAAAGUUUUACAUAUUAGUACAGCUGCACAUACAAAAUUAGCUCACAAAUGUUAUUAUUUAAACACACAUUAACACCACAUUCGUUUUAAAGUUCUACAUGAAUAUAAAAAAAAAUGGUUUAAAGAUGUUGAUAUGGUGAUGUUUUAGCUUUGCUGAUAACGUAUAAAUUCUCCGAGAACGCUUCAUGAUUGUCAAAUGUUUCUGUUAUCUUAGAACAUUUAUAGACGAAAACGGUUGAUAAGACUCUAAAUUUGUAAUAUUUGUAUCGAAAGCUGUAUUUGUUUAUAAUAAUAAUGUGUGAUAAGUGCGUUUUUAUUUAAAUAAAACCUGUUAAAAUUAGAACAUUUAUCAGCACAUUCCUCAAGUUAAAUCCAAAUGUGAAUAAAGCUGUCAAUCGUUGUCAAAUAUUACACGCUGACCGCAGAUAAUAAUUUAUAUUUACAAUUUAUCAAAGACGUUUCCGUUUUGGUGAGCGACGCUCGUGUCUUUUACAUUUCAAAAAUGGAUUCAUUUUUUAAAUUUAUUAAAAGUGUUCUGCCUCCAUCGGAACCACGAACUUCCUCUUCGCUCGUGGAAGCCAGGGUGUACCAAAAACCCACAAAUCAGUUACCUCCCUCUCGAGACAGCACGCCUCCAGAUACACCACCUGGGUCGCCGAAGCCCAAAAAGAAGACCAAUGAAAACGAAGAACAGAAAGAUAAAUAAAUUUAUUAACACUUUACAAGUAAUACUAUUUUUAUCGACAAAGGACUUGCAUAACAGUACAAUUGGAUUAUAAAAUCAUUAGAUUACAAAAUCUUACCUUCUGUUUCAAUUUAUAAAGAUAAAAUAAAUUUAAUCCCAAUUGGGAGUGGAGUGGA